GCAGUCGAGCGGACAGAUGGGAGCUUGCUCCCUGAUGUUAGCGGCGGACGGGUGAGUAACACGUGGGUAACCUGCCUGUAAGACUGGGAUAACUCCGGGAAACCGGGGCUAAUACCGGAUGGUUGUUUGAACCGCAUGGUUCAAACAUAAAAGGUGGCUUCGGCUACCACUUACAGAUGGACCCGCGGCGCAUUAGCUAGUUGGUGAGGUAACGGCUCACCAAGGCAACGAUGCGUAGCCGACCUGAGAGGGUGAUCGGCCAAACUGGGACUGAGACACGGCCCAGACUACUACGGGAGGCAGCAGUAGGGAAUCUUCCGCAAUGGACGAAAGUCUGACGGAGCAACGCCGCGUGAGUGAUGAAGGUUUUCGGAUCGUAAAGCUCUGUUGUUAGGGAAGAACAAGUACCGUUCGAAUAGGGCGGUACCUUGACGGUACCUAACCAGAAAGCCACGGCUAACUACGUGCCAGCAGCCGCGGUAAUACGUAGGUGGCAAGCGUUGUCCGGAAUUAUUGGGCGUAAAGGGCUCGCAGGCGGUUUCUUAAGUCUGAUGUGAAAGCCCCCGGCUCAACCGGGGAGGGUCAUUGGAAACUGGGGAACUUGAGUGCAGAAGAGGAGAGUGGAAUUCCACGUGUAGCGGUGAAAUGCGUAGAGAUGUGGAGGAACACCAGUGGCGAAGGCGACUCUCUGGUCUGUAACUGACGCUGAGGAGCGAAAGCGUGGGGAGCGAACAGGAUUAGAUACCCUGGUAGUCCACGCCGUAAACGAUGAGUGCUAAGUGUUAGGGGGUUUCCGCCCCUUAGUGCUGCAGCUAACGCAUUAAGCACUCCGCCUGGGGAGUACGGUCGCAAGACUGAAACUCAAAGGAAUUGACGGGGGCCCGCACAAGCGGUGGAGCAUGUGGUUUAAUUCGAAGCAACGCGAAGAACCUUACCAGGUCUUGACAUCCUCUGACAAUCCUAGAGAUAGGACGUCCCCUUCGGGGGCAGAGUGACAGGUGGUGCAUGGUUGUCGUCAGCUCGUGUCGUGAGAUGUUGGGUUAAGUCCCGCAACGAGCGCAACCCUUGAUCUUAGUUGCCAGCAUUCAGUUGGGCACUCUAAGGUGACUGCCGGUGACAAACCGGAGGAAGGUGGGGAUGACGUCAAAUCAUCAUGCCCCUUAUGACCUGGGCUACACACGUGCUACAAUGGACAGAACAAAGGGCAGCGAAACCGCGAGGUUAAGCCAAUCCCACAAAUCUGUUCUCAGUUCGGAUCGCAGUCUGCAACUCGACUGCGUGAAGCUGGAAUCGCUAGUAAUCGCGGAUCAGCAUGCCGCGGUGAAUACGUUCCCGGGCCUUGUACACACCGCCCGUCACACCACGAGAGUUUGUAACACCCGAAGUCGGUGAGGUAACCUUUUAGGAGCC
rnacentral:rRNA from 1 species